rnacentral:rRNA from 1 species
AACGAACGCUGGCGGCAGGCUUAACACAUGCAAGUCGAGCGCCCCGCAAGGGGAGCGGCAGACGGGUGAGUAACGCGUGGGAACGUACCUUUUGGUUCGGAACAACUCCGGGAAACUGGAGCUAAUACCGGAUAAGCCCUAACGGGGAAAGAUUUAUCGCCGAAAGAUCGGCCAGCGUCUGAUUAGCUAGUUGGUGAGGUAACGGCUCACCAAGGCGACGAUCAGUAGCUGGUCUGAGAGGAUGAUCAGCCACACUGGGACUGAGACACGGCCCAGACUCCUACGGGAGGCAGCAGUGGGGAAUAUUGGACAAUGGGCGCAAGCCUGAUCCAGCCAUGCCGCGUGAGUGAUGAAGGCCUUAGGGUUGUAAAGCUCUUUUGUCCGGGAAGAUAAUGACUGUACCGGAAGAAUAAGCCCCGGCUAACUUCGUG